AUACUUACCUGGCAGGGGAGACACCAUGAUCAUGAAGGUGGUUCACCCAGGGUGAGACCCAGCCAUUGCACAUUCCGGUUGGGUUGACCCCUGCGAAUUCCCCAAAUGUGGGAAUCUCGACUGCAUAAUUUCUGGUAGUGGGGGACUGCGUUCGCGCUCUCCCCUG
ensembl:snRNA U1 U1 spliceosomal RNA